GGCGGCGUGCCUAACACAUGCAAGUCGUACGAGAAAGCCGGCUUCGGCUGGUGAGUAAAGUGGCGCACGGGUGAGUAACGCGUGGAUAAUCUGCCCUUAAGUGUGGAAUAACGUACCGAAAGGUGCGCUAAUACCGCAUAAUGCCUGGCAACACAAGUUGUCCGGCCAAAGAAGGCCUCUGUUUACAAGCUUUCGCUUCAGGAUGAGUCCGCGUACCAUUAGCUUGUUGGUGGGGUAAUGGCCUACCAAGGCUGCGGUGGUUAGCUGGUCUGAGAGGAUGAUCAGCCACACUGGAACUGAGGCACGGUCCAGACUCCUACGGGAGGCAGCAGUGAGGAAUAUUGCGCAAUGGGGGCAACCCUGACGCAGCAACGCCGCGUGAGUGAGGAAGGUUUUCGGACUGUAAAGCUCUGUCGAGCGGGAAGAAGUGUACCAUGGCUAAUAUCCAUGAUAUUUGACGGUACCGCUAGAGGAAGCACCGGCUAACUCCGUG
rnacentral:rRNA from 1 species